rnacentral:sRNA from 1 species
GUUUGUUUUAUUUUUCUUUCUAUAUU